UACGGAGGUCCCAAGCGUUGUUCGGAUUCACUGGGCGUAAAGGGUGCGUAGGUGGUGAGGUAAGUCGGAUGUGAAAUCUCCGAGCUCAACUCGGAAAUGGCAUUGGAAACUACCUUGCUCGAGGGUUGGAGGGGGGACUGGAAUUCCUGGUGUAGCGGUGAAAUGCGCAGAUAUCAGGAAGAACACCCGUGGCGAAGGCGGUUCUCUGGGACGGUACUGACGCUGAGACGCGAAAGCGUGGGGAGCGAACAGG
rnacentral:rRNA from 1 species